CACAACAUUUCCCCAAAACCAUGUUUAAUCGGAGAUACAAGGUUUAUAACUUGGGAGCAGGGAGAUACGAGAUUACGCUGUCAUUGAUAAGAAUGGUAUGGACACAGACAUCGCUGCUGCCAGCAGUGUUCAUCAAAGUCUGCGGUCGCGUUGAGCCUUUUGACAAGAGACGAGGCUUUAAGAGCUAAUGAAAGCUAAUGAUUGUGGUUACAUACAUCUUCCUAAACUCUAUUUUAAACGUUAGAGCUAUGAGUGAUGCAAUACCAAACUAAAACGUUAAACAGGCUGUCUAAUAUAGGCGGAAAUUAAUCUGCACGCAAAUAAAGUCGGCGGUCGCGUUGAGCCUCUUGACAAGAGAAAAGGCUUCAAUAGUUAACCAAAGCUAACGACUGUGGUUACAUACAUCUUCCUAAACUCUAUUUUAAAGGUUUAAGAACUAUAAGUGAUGUAAUACAAAAAACGAUGAGCUGACUAUAGGCUGUCUAAUAGGCGGAAAUUAGCCGAAUCUGCUCGCAAACUUACCUUCGUGGCUCACGGGCUUCCUUCUGCACCGAAGCAUUACAGCUAUCGAUUUUUAACAAAACAGGCCUACUCAAAUGUAUCUAACCUAACUAUUUUCACUCGUUAUUGUCUAAAAAACUUUCAGUCAGGAGACGUAAUGCCGAGAGGCUCCAGUGGAGUGAAGAAGAGGUGGAGUUACGAGACUUCUCAGACAGUUGAAGUGUCCAAUGGAGUUAAGAGAUUUGCUCUCAAGCUAUUUUCAACACUUUAGAUUGGUUAAUAAUUUGUAAAAAAUAACAGACCCACAUGGGGACUGACCAAUAGCAUCGAUUUGUGAAAAAAUAUGAAAUUGACCAAAUUUGGACAUAGGAGGUUUCCGCCCGACAGCGACGAUGUGGAGGAAGGCUGUUCCAGAGACAUGGUGUAGCCACCGCAAAAGCACGGCCUCCCUUAGAUUUUAACCGAGACGUUGGAACUUUUAACAAGAGACUUUGAGAAGAUCUAGGGGUCUCGCAGCACAAUGAUACUGUAGAAGAUUUGAGAUCUUAUAAAGUUAUUAUUUUUGUUUUAUUGUGCACAGAAAGUAUUCUUGACGCUAAACAAAAUUAAGGUUGAACCACUGGAGUCACAUGGAUUAUUUUACUGAUGUCUUUACUAACUUUCUGUGCUUUGAUUGUACACUGCGUUGCUGUCUGUGGUGGAGUCAGAAAGCUCUUGGACCUCACCAAAACUAAAUCUUCAUUUGUGUUCUGAAGAACGAUUGGAGGGUGAGUAAUUCAUGGCAGACUUGUCCGUUUUGGGCGGAGUAACCCUUUAAGCCCUGUACGGAAACCCCCCAUCAUCCCAUGUGUUUAAUUUUAAAAACAUUGUAUGUAUAAUAAUAUGAGACAAUUGUAAUUUCAGAGUUUGUUACACUGUUUGUUUACAAUACUUUUUUUUAUUUGUCUAAACAGGGCGAGGUGUGUUUGCAAAAGGCCCUUUUUUUAAAGGGUCAUUUAUUGUAGAAUAUAGAGGAAUCUUAAGCAAAAAUGUUGAACCAUCCAAUGAAUACACCUACAUUUUUAUGCACAAAGGAAAUGAAUACUGCAUUGAUGCUUCAAGGGAGGAUGGAUCACUUGGGAGACUAAUUAACGAUGACCCGAAACCCAAUGCAAA